GGGCCAAAUUGAACGUCGCAACUAAAUAUUUAUAACAGUUAGAAUAACAUUGAAGAUGAGGUUCCGAGCAAAAAUGAAUGAUGUUCGUUGCCUUAAUAAUUUCACACAGUUGAUCAGGCUGUUGAUUGUGGCUUGUGGAAUGUUGUCUCACCCCUCUUCAAUGGCUGUGCGGAGUUGCUGGAUAUUGGUGGGAACUGGAACACGCUGUCGUACACGUCGAACCAAAGCAUCCCAAACAUGCUCAAUGGGUGACAU
ensembl:lncRNA